GCUUCUUCGUAGGGGGUACUCUCAGGAGGUAGGGAAUCCCAGACCUCGGGGACUGGGGCAAAGUCACAACCGCGCUGGCGGCGGGCGCAUCCACAGAGCAGGGCAAAGUGAGGCAACCUCUGGGGGCCCUGCGCAGCCCCCCGGUUGGGUGUGGGGGGCUAAACUUGGGCCCCCGAAGUGAGAUCCCUGGCUGUGCUGACUGUGGGGGAGUCAUGGGGGGUGCCGGCCCCCACGUUCAUGAUUGGGGAUCCGAACGGAUAGAACCCUGUGGCAUCAGGUCAGUCCAACUCUCUGUUCCUCAACCUGAGAGCGGCCGGUAAAUGGA
rnacentral:lncRNA from 1 species